AUUAACAUCAACCAUUGAAAGUACUGAUAACUCGGUCAACGAACACACACACACACACACACAUUUUCUGAACCGCUUGUCCCAUACGGGGUCGCGGGGAACCGGAGCCUACCCGGUAACACAGAGCGUAAGGCCGGAGGGGGAGGGGACACACCCAGGACGAGACGCCAGUCCGUCGCAAGGCACCCCAAGCAGGACUCGAACCCCAGACCCACUGGGCAGCAGGACUGGGGUCCAACCCACUGUGCCACCGCACCCCCCUCUGUCAACGAACACUGUUACUGUUACUGAGUCAGCCUUGACCCUUGUUGAUCACAUAUGCAGUUUUUCCGGAAAGUUCUGUCCUCCAUCUGUGUCCUUAGUGUUGAGUGUCACUGUCACUGAGUCCAUCCAUCCUCUGCUUCUUUCUCGUCCAGCUCUUCUGCUCAUCACCGUCUUCUCUAGAGAAUCCGGUCUUCUGGGCGACGUGUCCACAGUGCGACGAUCUCAAUCUCGUCAUCUGUGCUUCGAAAAUAAGAAGAAGUGCAACAACCACAACAUCAUUUCCUUUUCUCAAGCUGCGGUGCAGCGGCCAAGAAAUGUGAUGGCACCACCGUUGAACAAGACGCUCAUCACCGAGGCAUCAGCGACUGCACCAGGUUUCCGUGGCGGCAGCAGCGUUACUACCCACCUUAGGUUGCCAGCUACCUCUGUCAUCACCUAUAAAUAGCAGGCUGUGUUUAGCUUGAUUGUAAAAAAAAAAAAAAAAAAUUCCAAAGCAGGAAGGUUUUUUUGGUCCUGCCCACUGCUGGAUGAUGGAGAGCGGAGUGUGCGUGGGCUGCGGAGAUGGGUCUUGCAUGUGGGCGUCCCAAUGUUCUCCAGGCCCCUUGCCCACUGGGGUGAUUCAGAGGGGGGCUGGAUGUGAGCUGCAGCUUCCCACCCACUCGCUCGCUAGAGCCCCCUGACAGCUGGAAAUGAGCCCCCCCAUCGCUGCCCGCACAGGCCUGGCUCGCAGAUCGAGUGAAAAAUAAAAAACCUUUCUUCUGUCUCCUCGCGAUGUGU
rnacentral:lncRNA from 1 species